UGCUCGAGUGGCGAACGGGUGAGUAACACGUGAGUAACCUGCCCUUGACUUUGGGAUAACUUCAGGAAACUGGGGCUAAUACCGGAUAGGAGCUCCUGCUGCAUGGUGGGGGUUGGAAAGUUUCGGCGGUUGGGGAUGGACUCGCUGCUUAUCAGCUUGUUGGUGGGGUAGUUGCUUACCAAGGCUUUGACGGGUAGCCGGCCUGAGAGGGUGACCGGCCACAUUGGGACUGAGAUACGGCCCAG
rnacentral:rRNA from 1 species